AGUAGCUCAAUGGUAGAGCGGUUGGCUGUUAACCAAUAGGUUCUAGGUUCAAGUCCUAG
rnacentral:tRNA from 1 species